ACUGUCACUCUUACCACAGGUCCCGCGCAAGGAGUCUGUCACCAGGGAGCAGGGCUGCAGGACCUGGCCGGGUUCCUUCGCACCACGUAGCGGGUCUACCGUCUGCGGGAGGACAGACCUGAAGGGACCCGGAGAGUUUGCCAGUCAAAGAGGGGUCGCCACCCACCCAUCCACCCUCCCUCCACGCUCCCAGAAAGAGGAGUCUUGGAAAUAUCCACUGCCACCCCCCCCCCAAAAAAAGCUGCAGUCUGUCCAAACUCACGGCGGAUGGAGCUGCGGAAAGUUCCCUCCUCUUCGUCAGGUUCUCCAGUUCUGGAAAGGGACAGGCAGAAUAGAAGGGGCUUGGGAUCGUCCGGGACAGACAGUCGCUUCCCGGACACCCCUCCCAACCCAGCGCAGGCCUCUCGUUUCCCCGCACUGCACCGCUGGACCGCGGGUCUUCCAACCGGGAGCGCCCCAGAGCCGCUAGAGGAUGCUGCGGGGGUCGGGGGACCGUGAGUACCGCUGGCGAUGCUGUGGGAGGGGCGCAGAGACCCGUGGGGCAUGGCUGGAAAACUCAGAAACCUCAUCUUCCUAUGAGUCCUCCUAAGUGAUCCAACAAGCCCUCCGUGCCUCAGUUUCCUUAACUGUAAAAUGGGGCGGAUAAUGGGCACCAGUCCCAUGGAGGCAGCAGCGUGAGGGGCAAAUGAAAUUACAUGGAAGGCUGGCGUGAGGUGCAUACCCAGUGCACUUAGGAUGGCAUCUAUAACCGUUCUACCUAACAGGCAGGAAGUAGUCAUCCCCACGAUUCCUGCGCUUUAAACGUUUAUUUCGAGACGAAUCCAAGUGCCAGGAGCUGGCCUCCGAGCUAAACUGGGCGGCUGUGUGAGGUGAUCUCAUUUCUGCACCGCCUGCCGCCCAGCGCUUCGCCUGAUCUCGCUGUGCGACUCUCCAUCUGCGGGGCUGACAGAGCCCCUUGCCGGCAAUGCGCGGGAUUAGUGGGACCCAUGGACAGCGCCCCCCGCAGGCAGGGCGCGGGGCUGGUGGAACCCUCGGCCGCCGGCAGGGCGUGGGCUUUACACAUCUCUUUGGCCCAACGCCUGGCUUGGAACGAGGCAUACAGUUGACUACCACUUCAGCAACCAAGGAACCAGCCUCCGUCCACUCCCUGGUCUGGCUGUCCAGAGCAUCUUUUCCCCUCCCCUAAAUGCCAGCCACGACACAACUCAUACAGGAGACCCCCAGUUUCCUGUGCCACUUGGGGGUUCCUUCAGCUUUGGGUCUCGCAGUUGGAUUUUUCCUACCUCUGCCAUUCUUGGGGCCCGAGGCGGAUACCAGGCUGCCUCCCCUGGACUCACCUGUGCUGGCCAUGGCAAAGAGACCCACGAGGACAACCGAGAUGGGGCUGAGAGACGCCAUUGUUCUGAGGAGACAACCAAAGUCAGAAAUUGCGUACUUUCCUCCCCUCCCACGCAGGGGCCUGAACUCAGUCACAAACGUGUCAGGCAUGUAGCGUAGUUGACUGAGAGACAAGACAUCCCGGCUUCACAGGAACCAAGCCACCAAAACAACAUGCAGGCCCCCAGAGUUCUCACACCUAGCCUAGCAAGGGAGGCAGGACACCACGGGCAGGUGGAGGCAGACACUUCCAAGCAGGGGGCGCGCCCCAGCCCCGCCUGCCUCCCAGUCCGCAGUGGGACUCCCCGUGUGCUGUGCAGUCCUGGCUCUCCUGCCCCGGGCUGCUUGCCCGCCAGCCCGCUCACUUGCUCUCUGCCUGGCCCUGGGUAUAAAUAUCUCCCAUUUCACCCAGGAGGAAUUCGCCGCACACAGGCCACCAUGGCAACAGCUUUCCUUCGCCUGACUUUGGGGGUCAUGUACAACCCUGCUGGGGUGAGGCCCAGGCUGGAGCCACAUUGCUACCGCCUUCCCCCCACCCCCCGCAAGGGGUCCAGCCCCCCUUCUCCUCUCCUGGAAGUUAGGAGUAAAGGGGGAAACACCCUCUCUGCCCACUUCUGGAUAACAUCUUUCAUAACAGGACAACACCAGACGAGUGAUGAGGGGCCCAUGCCAGUGGGCCUGAAAGAAGACAGAUGUCUGGUUCAGACACACACACGCAUACACACAUGUACGCACAUACACAUGUAUGCACACACACACAUACACACAGAGCGGAUGGGGCUGGCACUGGACAGACAACACCCUCUACCCCCAAAUUGCUGGUGGGAGGAAAGUGAGGUGUAGAUAUGCCCCUCCUCUAGGUCUCCUGUGCCCCAAACAGUGAUACAAGCAGACCUACACACUACACACGUGAGUGUCCAAGCCCCACACCCAGCCAGGGGGUCUUACGCAGCAGAGGCAGCAGCAGAAGCAGAGAAGGGGGGAGUCACAGGCUCCCUCCACCCCUGCAACCCAGCUCUCCCCACACACUCCUCCUCCUUGGGUCUGGCCAGCCUGGGAAACCAGGGGCUGGCCACUCCUGUUCCCAAAAUAGGCCACCCAGCCAGGGAAGGAGAAAGGUCUAGAGAAAGGGGUGGGGGAUGCUCACCGUGUUCAGGCUGUCCCCUGCUGUUAGAAGGCCCCCAAAUGUCUGGCUAGGCCCCUGGGGGCUGAGCACUUUGGACCCCCUGGCCCAGAACUGGACGCCCCGCCUCCGCAGGCUCCCCUCCUGGCCCCACCCUGCCCUUACCCUCCCCAACCAGCAGCUGUAACUGGAGCCCAGGCUGGAGGGGGGCCAGGGGGCGGCCCCCAGCCCAGACUGGCCCACUAGGUUAACUCUCUCAGCUCAGCCUGAGGAGCGCCAGGCAUGUGGACUGUACUGUGGACACACAGGCAUGCAGGGGUGUACACACACACACACACAUAUUGACUCUUCCUUUGGCCCAGAGCUUUUGGGCUGGGGAGAGAGAAUGAUUUCAACAGGGCUCCCUGGGAAUGGGGCCCAGCUGGGGCCUAAGGUCACUAAGCUCCAUCCCUUGGGCACCCACUGACCUCUGACCAUAGUGUUCUAUGGAGCCCUUGAUAGUAUGCAGGGGAUAUUUUUAAAAAUUUAUUUGUU